rnacentral:rRNA from 1 species
AUUGAGCGCUGGCGGCGUGCUUAACACAUGCAAGUCGAGCGGUAACAGGCGUAGCAAUACGUGCUGACGAGCGGCGAACGGGUGCGUAAUACAUGGGAAUCUGCCCUUUGGUGGGGAAUAACCCGGCGAAAGCCGGGCUAAUGCCGCAUGAGAUCUUCGGAUGAAAGCGGGGGAUCGUAAGACCUCGCGCCGAUGGAUGAGCCCAUGUCGGAUUAGCUAGUUGGUGAGGUAACGGCUCACCAAGGCGACGAUCCGUAGCUGGUCUGAGAGGACGGCCAGCCACACUGGGACUGAGACACGGCCCAGACUCCUACGGGAGGCAGCAGUGGGGAAUAUUGGACAAUGGGCGAAAGCCUGAUCCAGCGACGCCGCGUGUGUGAAGAAGGCCUGCGGGUUGUAAAGCACUUUCGAUGGGAACGAAAUGUGCCGGGCUAAUACCCCGGCAAGCUGACGUUACUCAAUGAAGAAGCACCGGCUAACUCUGUGCCAGCCGCCGCGGUAACAC